rnacentral:ncRNA from 1 species
UGGUACGCCAUGCACGGCGUUUAAUAGGGAAACGAGCGAAAAUCCCGUACAGUCCGGCUGCUGUGAAUUGCCCUUGGAGGCGUAAACACCUGUCACUGAACAUGCGUUUGGGAAGACGUUUACCGCCCGGCAAUAAGUCAGAAGACCUGCCUUUGCUUG